rnacentral:rRNA from 1 species
GACGAACGCUGGCGGCGUGCCUAACACAUGCAAGUCGAACGGAACUGUUUUGAAAGAUUUCUUCGGAAUGAAUUUGAUUUAGUUUAGUGGCGGACGGGUGAGUAACGCGUGAGUAACCUGCCUUCAAGAGGGGAAUAACAUUCUGAAAAGAAUGCUAAUACCGCAUGACAUAUCGGAACCACAUGGUUUUGAUAUCAAAGAUUUUAUCGCUUGAAGAUGGACUCGCGUCCGAUUAGUUAGUUGGUGAGGUAACGGCUCACCAAGACCGCGAUCGGUAGCCGGACUGCGAGGUUGAGCGGCCACAUUGGGACUGAGGCACGGCCCAGACUCCUACGGGAGGCAGCAGUGGGGGAUAUUGCGCAAUGGGGGCAACCCUGACGCAGCAACGCCGCGUGAAGGAUGAAGGUUUUCGGAUUGUAAACUUCUUUUAUUAAGGACGAAAAAUGACGGUACUUAAUGAAUAAGCUCCGGCUAACUACGUG